rnacentral:misc_RNA from 1 species
GGAUGAAGAACGCAGUGAAAUGCGAUAAGUAAUGUGAAUUGCAGAAUUCAGUGAAUCAUCGAAUCUUUGAACGCACAUUGCGCCCGUCAGUAUUCUGGCGGGCAUGCCUGUUCGAGCGUCAUUACGCCCCUCAAGUCCCCUGUGGACUUGGUGUUGGGGAUCGGCGAGGCUGGUUUUCCAGCACAGCCGUCCCUUAAAUUAAUUGGCGGUCUCGCCGUGGCCCUCCUCUGCGCAGUAGUAAAACACUCGCAACAGGAGCCCGGCGCGGUCCACUGCCGUAAAACCCCCCAACUUUUUAUAGUUGACCUCGAAUCAGGUAGGACUACCCGCUGAACUUAAGCAUAUCAAUAAGCGGAGGA